CAUUCAGUCAGUUAGACUCAGAGAGUUUGUGCAGAAUCAGCCUCUGGAAGGACAACACCACAGCUGAAAUUAGACAUGCAUCCCCUAUUGAUCGGCAUAGUGACAGCCAACACAAGUUUGACUAUUGUCUACUGGAACUUUCUUCUGUCUCAGGCUUUCUGCAAGAAGAUCAAAGAUGCUCCACCACCUGAGGAAAUUCCCAUCUGAGUUGAGGCUUUGGUCGUGACCCUGGUGAUGAAGAGAAAGAAGAAGAACCACCAAAGUCCAUCUUUGGGAAAGUAGGGAUGAGGGAGAGAAAAUAAGAACAAAGGAGGAACAGACUGCCAUUUGACCCAGAAGUGGACGGAUAGAAAUUGUGCCAGGAUUUAAAUCUUCUGUAUUUCACAAAUCAUGAGGUUAAAAA